GGCGGGGAGCAGUGGUGCACCACACCGCCAGGCUGAGCCUCAGCCUUCAGUGUGGGGCAGAGCACCUGUGCCCUGCAAAAUGCAAACUCUGUGCUCCUCAAACAAUGUUAAAAUGAACUAUACAGGGAGGCAAAGGUCAAGUGAACCAUUAUUGUGCUGCAUUUUAUGCAAACAAAAAAAAUGUAUUAGAGGAUGUGCUUUGUAUUGUAACAAGCAGGGUCCAGCCCAACUCCCCAGUGAGCUCCUCACCAACCACUUGUGGCCCCUUCCCACACAGCUGUGCGGAACCUGGCUUUGUCUGGCAUCUCGUAAUCCUGACCAGCUCAGGAAAAGGAGUCACUUGUUGCCUGGACGUUGGAUUGAGCGGUGAAAGUGACCACAAAUGAAUCAGUAGAUUAGUUCCAGUCUAUUUUUGAAUUGCAAGAUAAACUUGCUCUGCACAGAGAACAAGCUGUGUUGUACCUGCUAUCCUGUCAUUCCAAAUUUCCUCCAUCAGACUGAAGGGCCAAGAAAAAAGAGCAAGUUAUAAAAA